rnacentral:tRNA from 1 species
GCGGGCGUGGCGAAAUUGGUAGACGCGCUAGACUUAGGAUCUAGUGCUUUGCGGCUUGGGGGUUCGAGUCCCUCCGCCCGCA